rnacentral:rRNA from 1 species
AGUGAACGCUGGCGGUAGGCCUAACACAUGCAAGUCGAACGGCAGCACAGUAAGAGCUUGCUCUUACGGGUGGCGAGUGGCGGACGGGUGAGGAAUACAUCGGAAUCUACUUUUUCGUGGGGGAUAACGUAGGGAAACUUACGCUAAUACCGCAUACGACCUACGGGUGAAAGCAGGGGAUCUUCGGACCUUGCGCGAUUGAAUGAGCCGAUGUCGGAUUAGCUAGUUGGCGGGGUAAAGGCCCACCACGGCGACGAUACGUAGCUGGUCUGAGAGGAUGAUCGGCCACACUGGAACUGAGCCACGGUCCAGACUCCUACGGGAGGCAGCAGUGGGGAAUAUUGGACAAUGGGCGCAAGCCUGAUCCAGCCAUACCGCGUGUGUGAAGAAGGCCUUCGGGUUGUAAAGCCCUUUUGUUGGGAAAGAAAAGCAGCAGGUUAAUACGCCGCUGUUCUGACGGUACCCAAAGAAUAAGCACCGGCUAACUUCGUG